GGAAAACACAAAUACAGACCAUCAAAACCUCACAUGAAGGUGUACUGGAGGAAGCAGCUUUCUCUGACCUCUGGCAGGUUUUUCAGUCAGGUGGAGGGCCAUCACGCCGAUAGGCAGGAUCAUGGGUAGGUAGGGGGGCUGUCUUGGCAGGAGUCCUGCUCUGAGGCAGGGGUGAGACCUCAUGACCCCUGCAGUCCCUGGAACCUUCUGAAAAUCUCCAUAUUUUUCUUUAAAUUCUGAUCAUACUGUUUCUGUGCCUACAAGGCCUAACCAGAACUUUGCAAAGGAUUUUGUAUAUGUAUCUUUUUUUUUUUUUACCGUGGAAAUUUUUUUUUAAAGAAUUCAUUUAUUUAUUCAUGAGAGACACACAGAGAGAGGCAGAGACAUAGGCAGAGGAGCCCUGUGAGGUGCCCAAUAUGGAACUCGAUCCCAGGACCCUGGGAUCAUGCCCUGAGCUGAAGGCAGACACUCAACCACUGAGCCACCCAGGUGCUCUGGAAAAUUUAAAGCACAGGCCAAAGUAGUUUAUGGAACUCCCAUGGACCCAUCAACUGACGUUAGUGAUUAGCACCAAUUUCCUCUGUACCCCUACACUGAAGCAAACCCCAGACAUCACAUCAUUUCAGUGCAGCUCUUCCCCCUCCUGGCAGGGCCCCAGAAGAGGGAAGGAGGUUUGUGAUGAGGGACAUUUGGGAGAGACCGACAGACCUAGGUUUGUAUGUCCCAUCACUUAUUAGAAGCAUGACCCGCCAAGGGCAAGUUGCUUGUUUAUCUGACUUUCAGCAUCCUCCUUUAUAAAAGGGGGAUAACAAUAUAUGCCUUAGAGUCUUCAAUAAAAAGCAGAUGUAUUUUUUUUUCCUGGUGAACAGAGGAGACGUGGGGAUGUCUGAAGAGAAGUGGGUGAGCUGGCUGUUGAUCAGGGCAGACUUGGGCAGGACGGCGGGCCCCGUGGAGGACGGCCAAGGCUGGGGGAGGUGGGGUGGGGACGGCAGGUUGAGAAGGGGUGGGAAAUGAACUCCCGACUCCACUGAAUCCCGUCCCAGGCUCUGGGAGCGAAGUGACAUUCCCAUGGGGCCCUGCUGGCCCCACUCCCAGACAGGCCUUGUGUUUGCAUUGGACUGUACCCCACAUCCCUUCACAUCUCCAGGUCCCACAUUCGGAAGUUCAGUGUGCAAGGCUGGCUCAGAAGCAGAAACAGGGUCUCCCACAUACCGAACCAACCAGCAUCUGGAGGACCAUCUCACCAAUUCCUGCCCCCGUCACCAGCACCGUGGUCGCACAGCCUAACCAAAAGAGAAGGAUUUGGGUUAGUAAAAGCAAGGUAAGGAGCCAGAAGUCGGCUGGUAUGAGCCCAGUUAUUUCUGGGAAGACUCUGGAAAAUGGUAUGACUGCCUAAGAGGACUACUUCGAGUUCCUUAGAUUUCUCAGACUUUAGUCCUUAACUUUGCUUUGGGGAUGGUAGGUCCUGCCGUCACUAUGCUUUCACUGUCCCAGGACCUUCAAGUACUCAGGGUUGUCUUCAGGGUAAAUUCCAAGUUGCUCGGCCUGGCAUUAGGAAGGGUCCUUCCCAAUCUGACUGCAACUGACCUUUCCAGAAAGCUUUUCUGACCUCCUCUGGCCAGCCCUCGGCUCUGGGCAGACCUGCGUCCUCACUGCCCUGGCGCUGCACUGACCGGCCACACCUCUGCUUGCUCCGGCAACGUGGCACAGACCCUCCGAGUCCAAGCUUCAGGGUCAGACUAGGGUCUGGGGUCCCGAGCCCAGCUGUGUUAGCUACUAGCCAUGAGAUUAGGCCACUUGUCCCUCUUUCUGUAAAAUGGGCAUGAACUCCUCCACAGGGUGGCCCUGCAGGAAGUGCCAUGUGGUACCCAUGUGGUUCUUGUGUGGGCACACGGGAAACUGCCUUGGGGAGAAAGUCCACACCCAUUCAAGUAGUUUGCAGGGCCCUUUAUACCCCAUCCCUGCUGAGAGCUCAGACGCCUCUGAACCUGCUCACAAUCUACCCUCCAUACCCUCCAGCGCCGAGAAACCAGCUUGCUUCCUGCCAGGUUCUGACACGUGCGUUCCCUGCCUUCUGAGCAUUACUCCUCCUCCUCUCCAUCUGCCAAGCUCCUGUUCACCUUUUAAGUUCCUCCUUUAGACCUCCCCCAGGCCCUAAACCUGCAUGAAGUUGCUCUUUGUCUGUCUCCCUCGGCCCCUCCAACCUUUUCCUCCUUACCCGGCUGCCUGUUUGCAAGGCAGCCUUCCCCGAGGGGCUGCAAGCCCAUGAGAGCACACCGAGCCUUGAAUUUUCGUUCAGUGGCUACACACUAUUAGCCCAGUGGCCAACCUAUGGUAGGUGCUUGUGUUUUUUGAAUAAAACAGGAUCAUCAUUGCCUACUUUGUGCUUCAAGUUCCUCUCUUGGUCUGGCUUAUAUUUAUACCUAGCGCUGUCUCUGCUGUCACAGUGUCCCCUGCCCCUGCCCCUGCCCUGCCCUGCCCUGGAGCACCUUUCCUUUUUCCUUUUGCCUUUCCAAAUCCUGAGCCAGUUCACGUCCUAUCUCCUCUGUGAAGCUACAUGGGGAUUGAACACUGGUCGUUCCCUUCUCUGAGUUCCAGGAGCACCCGUGCCUAGUCCACUCAUUCAUUCAAAAACCCGCCAGUACUUUCUGUGCACGGGCAUGAAGCUAAAUGCCAAGAGUACUCAGGUGAUCUGAGCUGACAUGUCUGCUGAGCACCUGUGAGUCCACUAAGCCGCUAAGCCAAGUGUUCUAUAUCUCCCCCUCAAAUGCACACACAAUCCGAUAGGUGGGUAUGUGCAUCCCCAUUUUGUAGGUGAGAAAACCGAGGCUAAGAAAGGGGAACAAAAUGGAAUCGUACAAGGUCACAAAGCCAGAAAGUGUGCAGGCAGGACUGGCGUUCGGGUCUGCCAACGACCUCAGAGCGCACGCUCUUGCCUUUGUCCCCUGCUGGUGCCCACAGGGAACACGUCAUCGAGGAGAGGACACAGAUAACAGGUACAAAAGUCGUGAGGCUGGUCAAACACGAGAGGCAAGUACAAAGGGGAGGGGCACAUCUUUCCAGGGGAGAUUAGAGAAGCUUCCAGAAGGGGUGGAGAGAGAGACUGGAGUAGGCAGGCAGGUGCAGGGGCGGGUGGCGUAGAGCGGGCGCUGCAGGCAGGGAACGGCAGUAAUUCACAAGGCCAGGAUGCAGGCCCUGGGUGGGAGCAGGGUGAGCGGAGGUGUGACAAGUGCUCCAGGGGAUUCUAAUGUGGCACCGGCACUGAGAACCACCAAGGCAGGCAAACGUGAAGGGGACAGGUGGGCACCUGCCGAGGCAGGGAAGUCGGUGAUUAGAAGCUGGGCACCGUGAAGUGUUCCAAGCAGGCACGGGACGGGGAAGGCUGAACGAAGGCCGAGAUGGUGAGAGAGGAGAAGUGGAUGGAUCUGAGUGAUCACCUGCGAGCAGAAUCAACCAAUCCCAAUUAUUGUUAUUACACUCUAACAUUUGGCUUAGCUAAUUAAUUAAUUUUUCAGUAGGCUCCACACCCAAGGUGGGACUUGAGCUCACAACCCCAGGGUCAGGAGUUGCAUCCUCUCCUGACUGAGCAGCCAGUAGCUCUAUCCUCCAACACGGGCCGACUGCUUAAAACGCGGGGAUCUUCUGUGUGACGUGUGACGCUUAAUUGAUGAUUAAUUCACUGCUUCACUUAGGCGCUUGGGGUUUGGAGAUCAUCCUUAGGUUUCAAGGAUUCAGGCUCCCACCUCUCCUAGUGGGUUUAGCUCUAAUUGCUCUGGCCACCCCCACGCCGCCGCCUACACCCAUUUCCGCCACCCCCUCCUCCCCUAGAGAAAUCACUCCUCUUAGCGUUGGUUUUCCUUCACCCUAGGGCACUCUAGUUACUUCUAAGGGUAAUGCUAAAUGUUCACAACAUAAUUAUUUUUAAUUAACUCACUUUUUAAAAAGGCCUUUGCUAUAUGAAGUUGGGAAGCUACAGAAAGCGGAGGGAGAUUCGUGGAGAGAAUCUGAGGCUUCCGACAUCAAAGAACCCCACUGUCACAACCCCAAACCCAGGGUGGAGACGCUGCCCUACUCCUUCGGCCUCCAAACAUAUCCACAAGAAGAGCAAAGCAAGGAGGUCCUCUUGCUGAUAAGUUAUAAACCCCUUUCCUAGACCAUAACUCUCCCUGUGCAACCUGCUGGUCUUUGAACUUGGAAUUUUUGUCACACAAAAUGCCAGCUGUGGGCCAGCAGACAUCGCCACCCGGAAACGAAAACAGGAAAGAGAAGUGUACUGCUUCUGCGUGGCCUGACGUCACAUGACACAGGAUGUCCUCGGUGUAGGCCAGCAUGCUGGGGAAGGUGCUGCUGAGGAACAGGCCCAGGCUGGCUGUCCCCACGAACAGGAAGGCGACGUUGUAGGAGAAAACAAGAAGCACCAGGAAGGUCACCACCACGCCCAC